CUUGACGAUCAUAGCGAGUUGGAACCACCUGAUCCCAUUCCGAACUCAGAAGUGAAACGACUUAGCGCCGAUGGUAGUGUGGGGUUUCCCCAUGUGAGAGUAGGUCAUCGUCAAGCUCUUAAAUUGAAAUACCCCGAAUCAGUAAUGGUUCGGGGUAUUUUUUUGCGUGGCUCGCGCCGGAGCGGGGGCGCUUGCCGAUGACAGAUAACUGCUCCUGCGUUAUCUGCAUACACUACAUCCAUGUAGAUACCCUGCGGUCAUGGUCAUCGAUGCCAUCCCUGGCAUCGACCCCAUCCCUGGCAUCGACCCUGCGGGCAGCCUCCGGCUGUGCCCGUUCGCUCCGGGCGAACGGGUCAAGCUCUUAAAUUAAAACGCCCUGUCGGUAACCCGGCAGGGCGUUUUUCUUGUGUGCCAGAAAA
rnacentral:rRNA from 1 species